GCCUCCCACCGUGCCCAGGGACACCUUUCAGCCAGACUCAGCUGCUCAAGGCCUCAUCCAACCUGGCCUUGAACACUCCCAGGCAGGAGGAAGCCACAGCCUCACCACCUUCAUACUGAAGAGCUUCUUCCUCAGCUCCAUUCCUACCCUGCUCUGCCUCAGCUCUAAACCAUUCCCCCUUGGCCUGUCUCUAGACCCCCUCAGGAAAAGUCUCUCUGCAGCCUUCCUGCAGGAUCCCUUCAGACCCACUCCAGCAGCUCUGUGUGCUUCUGCUGGGGACACCAGGACUGGAUGCAGUAUCUGAGACGCUUUUCCAGCUCUGCCGGUGACGUCAGCACUCUGCAUGUGGUGACAUCCUCGUUUGUUGUGUAAUUAAAGGUGAUGUCAUGG